AAGAAGACCACGAAGAAAGCGGACACUUUCGUUCUGGCCACACUGCACAACACUAUGGACUUCCUGUAUCGUGAUGAAGAGAGUCACUGUCACUUUCGAGGCGGCAAAUGUGCCUGGCAGAAGUAUCAUUCACCGCAUCCACAAUGGACCAUGUUUGCUCAACGAAAUGGCGAAAGUGUGAAAACGACAACUGUGUAUCGACGAGAUGAGAAAAUCAACAGAGGAACGACGAAGAAUGGCCGUAUUUUUCAUUGACGUCUGAAUCAUUCUCCGUCGUCUCUACAUCGUAUCUACGCGCAUGUACACGCUUGUACGAAGCAAGGUCAGAAUUUCAUGGCAUUGAAAUAAAUUAUAAAUCAAACGUAUGCGAGAUUAAUCAUGGCUAAGAGGAUCAACGAAUAAACAAUUAGUCAAAAUACAA
rnacentral:lncRNA from 1 species